rnacentral:sRNA from 1 species
AUACUUCUAAAAUAUUUAAUAUCAUUUAAUUACUACAAAAUUAUCAUUUUUGAUAUUGCUUUUCUCCAUGACUAUAACAAUUCGAUUAUAAUCAUCAAAGCGCAGAGAUAUAAUCUGAUAGCAUUUAAUUACUACAAAAUUACAAAAUAUUUAGACAAUGAUUCAUAAACAUAUCAUAAAUAAGAUCAACAUUAAUAAAAUAAAUGGGUUUAUUUUUACAGGACGGGUUUGGAAGGACGUUACUUAAUAACAUUUGUAAACUAUAAAAUAAAAUUAUUUUAUAGAUAAAUACAAUUUAUAAACUUUUAUAUAUACUAACUUUAAAAAAUAAAUUAUUCCCGCGAUAUACCGCGGGUUAAAAUCUAGUGUAUAUAUCAAGUUGUAGCAAAACCAGCUGUUGGUAUAGUUUUUUCAUUAAAGUUGUUCCAU